rnacentral:rRNA from 1 species
AUUGAACGCUGGCGGCAUGCCUUACACAUGCAAGUCGAACGGCAGCGGACCUUCGGUGCCGGCGAGUGGCGAACGGGUGAGUAAUAUAUCGGAACGUACCUUUCAGUGGGGGAUAACGUAGCGAAAGUUAACGCUAAUACCGCAUAUUCUGUGAGCAGGAAAGCAGGGGAUCGCAAGACCUUGCGCUGAUUGAGCGGCCGAUAUCAGAUUAGCUAGUUGGUGAGGUAAAGGCUCACCAAGGCGACGAUCUGUAGCGGGUCUGAGAGGAUGAUCCGCCACACUGGAACUGAGACACGGUCCAGACUCCUACGGGAGGCAGCAGUGGGGGAAAUUUUGACGAACUAGGCGG